GAGGGUAUAGCUCAGUGGUAGAGGGUCUCCUUCACAUGUACACAGUCCUUGGUUCGAUCCCCAGUACCUCCA
rnacentral:tRNA from 1 species